ACCUGGCGCUGGGGCUCCGGUCCCCAGUGGCUCCAGCAGGAGGGAGAGAAUGAGGAGGGAGGCUUGGAAACGCCGGGAGGAGCGGUGAGGCCGACGCCGGGGAAGCGAAUCGAUACUGCGUUACUGGACGUCCGUGGGCCUCAUGAGGACGGUCGAUUCCCUCAUUCGUUAUUCACGAUUUAUUAGGGAUGGCGGCUGCGUCUGUCCCUCCAGAGCUCGAUUAUCCAUCCGGCCAGCAGCGCCAUUAAGCGCACUGACGGUGGGAGGCUCGAGUUAGAAAUUAGGAAAGGAAUCUUCGCCCAGUUUUGGAGCGCCUGCCUCCUCUUCCCUCGUUGCUCGCAGCCAAGGCAGCCGCGAAGCUGGGGGCCUCGGGUGAAUGCUUUCGCCCUCUGGCCGGCGACCAGGAGACCUGCGCACACUGGCCGCCGAGUGACCCCAGCUGGAGCCUGCAGCCACACCAGCGGGACGGGGGCGGGGAGGAAGAGGAAGGGCGGAGAGACUUCCUUCCAGAGGGAGUGGUCCGAGAACCGGCGGGAGAAGGGCCAAGGGAAGAUCCGGUCACCUGCUCCCGAGCCUGCAGGCGGAGAGGCGAGUAGUUCACCGGCCCCGGAGGAAAGGGGACCCUCCCAGUGUUCCCAUGCAAAUGUGUCGCCGGCAUCCUGGACUCUGCCAGGGAAGACGCGCAUCCACUCGCUCUGCAGGGAGGGGAGCGCGGGAGGGACUCCCAGUCAGCCGCCCCUCUCUGGCUACAAGACCCCGAACAAGAGAAACCUGUAACAGGGGCUCUGCGGAGAUCUGGAUCCCACCCACCAACCACAUGGGCACCUGGGGGGCUGCCCCUCGGGGCAUUAUCAGCCAGUGGGAAGGGGGUUGACGUUCCUCUGCGGCCCAUGAAUCCUGGAGGGCUGCCCGAGGGGCCACCGGGGUCCAUCCACUUAUUCCUCGGUUGUUAAGCGCCAGACAGGAGAGAACCGCUAGAGAGGAGUGUGCUAAGACCCCAUUACCCACUAAAACUCCAUUUUCAUCUUUUGCGUCCUGGAUGACUAGCCUCCACAUUCCUGGCCUUUCUGGUUUCUCAGGAGAACCUUCUGACCCAACUCUUCCCACAUCGGAAGAGUUUCCUAGUCUUUUAUUCUACUACUAGCCGACAUAGAAAGCACCUGUCAUGUGCCAGUGUCAAAUACUGCGCUAGGAACUGGGAACUCAAGGCACAGGAGCCUGGCUUUUGCGCAGGGCGCUCACAGGCCGGUGGGUGCAAACCCUGAAGGACACACGGCCUGUCCCUUCUGUCCCUUUAGCGCCCACCGCUUCUGGUGUGAGCUCCCGCCAAGGGUGGGUGAGUACUGGGGUGGGCUUCCAGAAGAAGCCUCCUUUGAGCCGAAUCUGCAGAGACCAAGUGUCUAUGAGAACUGCUUAAGAGUGCUUCGCACACUCUCCUCCACAAAGGUCGAGGCUCCCACUGCGCCAAGGAAUGCGCCUCGUCAGACAUUAGGCGCCCCUUGAUUUUGUGUUUGCAUCUCACGCGGUCCUCUAGCUGACAAAUGCAUCAGAAGAGUCACAGUGUCUGUCACAGGCUAGAGGCUCGCAGAGGACAGGAACGCGGGAAAUCUGGGCAAUUACCUCCAGCAUAUACCAAGAGCUAUUGCGAGGAUCAGAUCCCUUUAAAAAUGGUGACAGGAGGCAGGAGAGGGCGGCUCCUCUAGAGCUUUCCGGAACGUCUUUACCUCUGUGUCCUUUAUACCUUUUAUCUCCCCCAAACAAGGUCCUUGGUCAGUUUCUCCUUCUAUUUCCCCAUCUUCCUCCCCCACUUCUCUGUGUAGUUCUAGGGGGAAAAAAUGUGUUGUUUUCCUUUUUUUCUGAUGCUUCUUAUAUUAAAUGCGUCUAUUUUCCCACUCUCCAUUGUCUCGAGGUCUUCCCCACUCACCCUGCCUAGUUCUCUGUCAUGUCCCUUCUUUCCCUGUAUCACAACAAUGUUCUCCCUUUCUCACCUUUGUUUCUCUUCAUACCUGUUUCUCUCUCUGUGUCUCUCUCAUUCUCUUCCCUUCCAAAUGUAGUAUUUGGAGAUUGUAACAUCGAUUGAGGCAGACAAUAGAAAACUGUCGAACCUC
rnacentral:antisense_RNA from 1 species